GCCGUUCUUAGUUGGUGGAGCGAUUUGUCUGGUUAAUUCCGAUAACGAACGAGACCUUAACCUGCUAAGUAGUUACAUGAAAUUGCGAUUCUGUGGCCAAUUUCUUAGAGGGACUCUGUGUGUCUAGCAUAAGGAAGUGUGAGGCAAUAACAGGUCUGUGAUGCCCUUAGAUGUUCUGGGCUGCACGCGCGCUACACUGAUGUACUCACUGAGUGCCCCAUCUUGCCUGUAGAGGUUGGGCAGUCUUGCAAACCUACGUCGUGAUGGGGAUGGAUCAUUGCAACUAUUGCUCCUGAACGAGGAAUUCCUAGUAAAUGUAUGUCAUCAACUUGCAUUGAUUGUGUCCCUGCCUUUUGUACACACCGCCCGUCGCUCCUACCGAUU
rnacentral:rRNA from 1 species